CCUACGGGUGGCAGCAGUGGGGAAUAUUGGACAAUGGGGGCAACCCUGAUCCAGCCAUGCCGCGUGAGUGAUGAAGGCCCUAGGGUUGUAAAGCUCUUUUGUGCGGGAAGAUAAUGACGGUACCGCAAGAAUAAGCCCCGGCUAACUUCGUGCCAGCAGCCGCGGUAAUACGAAGGGGGCUAGCGUUGCUCGGAAUCACUGGGCGUAAAGGGUGCGUAGGCGGGUUUUUAAGUCAGAGGUGAAAUCCUGGAGCUCAACUCCAGAACUGCCUUUGAUACUGGAAAUCUUGAGUAUGGGAGAGGUGAGUGGAACUGCGAGUGUAGAGGUGAAAUUCGUAGAUAUUCGCAAGAACACCAGUGGCGAAGGCGGCUCACUGGCCCAUAACUGACGCUGAGGCACGAAAGCGUGGGGAGCAAACAGGAUUAGAUACCCGAGUAGUC
rnacentral:rRNA from 1 species